AGCAGUACGGGGAGAGCGACCCUGAUGCUGGCAGAAGAGUUUCCCCGUUGAGAAGAUCAGCGGGGAAAUCUCUCUGUGCCUGAAAGGUCUGAAAGCUUUAGACAUUCAGUGCAUCAGGCACAAAUCAAUGUGCCGUCGCGAGCAUAUUUACGCGGAAACCGCAUCGCUCGGGCAGGACCUGUUUCUCCUCGCGGUUCCGUGGCUCCA
rnacentral:sRNA from 10 species